UACGUAGGGGGCAAGCGUUGUCCGGAAUCAUUGGGCGUAAAGCGCGUGUAGGCGGCCCGGUAAGUCCGCUGUGAAAGUCGGGGGCUCAACCCUCGGAUGCCGGUGGAUACUGUCGGGCUAGAGUGCGGGAGAGGCGAGUGGAAUUCCUGGUGUAGCGGUGAAAUGCGCAGAUAUCAGGAAGAACACCCGUGGCUAAGGCGGCUCUCUAGUACGGUACUGACGCUGAGACGCGAAAGCGUGGGGAGCGAACAGG
rnacentral:rRNA from 1 species